GUUGUAUGGUUAAGUGACUAAGCGUACACGGUGGAUGCCUUGGCAGUCAGAGGCGAUGAAAGACGUAGUAACUUGCGAUAAGCCCAGAUUAGGUAGUAACAACCAUUUGAGUCUGGGAUUUCUGAAUGGGGAAACCCACGUGCAUAAGCACGUAUCCUUACCUGAAUACAUAGGGUAAGGA
rnacentral:rRNA from 1 species